CUCUGGCUGCAGCAUCACCUGACACGGGGUUCCUGUCUGAUACUGUAUCUAACUCAGCAAUCACUGCACAACUUACCGUCUUGCUACAUACAUUUUGGUGGCGGACCGUGGUCCGCGCCCGGGCUGAGUUCUGUGUCAGCAUCUGAACGUCCUUCUCCUGGCUCGCAUUCUUCUAGCCGGCUGAGAGGUUGUCAGGAUCCUGGGUCAAGAGUGGUCCAGCAGGGACAGGUCCAUGGUGAGACUGGCUGUACUGCAUCUGGAGCAUCCUUCUGGUGGCAUCAAGGGAGACGCUGGUCCCAGAAGUCCACCUGCCAGGAUGGAACCCACACCAUAGCAGUGACCAGGCUGGAUCCUUAGCCUGCUGUGCCGCCAGGGAACCUCAGGGACUCCAGUUUGUAUCCUCGCCCCGCUCUCUCUGCAUUAGUUAAACCCCUAACAACUUCCCCUCCGAGGGCAGUGGGAUGCCUAGUGGGAGAUUCU
rnacentral:lncRNA from 1 species